rnacentral:rRNA from 1 species
GGGCCCGCACAAGCGGUGGAGCAUGUGGCUUAAUUCGAGGCAACGCGAAGAACCUUACCUGGUCUUGACAUGCCCGUCAUAGUUUUCCGAAAGGAAUUCGUCAGUUCGGCUGGACGGUGCACAGGUGCUGCAUGGCUGUCGUCAGCUCGUGUCGUGAGAUGUUCGGUUAAGUCCGGCAACGAGCGCAACCCUCGUUCCUAGUUGCCAGCGGGUAAUGCCGGGGACUCUAGGAAGACAAACCUCGUGUAGAGGUGGGAAGGUGGGGACGACGUCAAGUCAGUAUGGCCCUUACGACCAGGGCUGCACACGUGCUACAAUGCCCAGUACAAUGGGAUGCAACACCGCGAGGUUGAGCAAAUCCACAAAACUGGGCCCAGUUCGGAUUGGAGUCUGCAACUCGACUCCAUGAAGUUGGAAUCGCUAGUAAUGGCGUAUC